rnacentral:misc_RNA from 1 species
AACCAUCAACCCCCCGCCUUUGCGGGCGCGGGGGUUGGACGUGGGGGCCUUUGCUGCGCGCGAGCGCGGCUCCCCUUAAAUGCAUCGGUUGGGCUUGGGAUCGCCUGCGUGCCUCUGGCGUUGUAUCUACCUCGCUUGCUGGCCAUCGGCUUUCCCCUUGCGCGCUCGGCCUUGACCUUGCCUCUGGAGCGGCGGUCGACUUUGACGGUUUUCACCGUUCUUUCUU